AGAGCAGUGCUGACGGGAGCUUUUAGUAAGUAAGACUGCACUGAGCUAGCUAGCAGCUAGCUGCUAAGCUAACGAAGCUAGCGCGGAGAAAGGCGUCGCCGGUCAGAAGGAGUCUACUCCUGCACACCGUGACCAGGACUUCUCGGAAGACAGCAGGAACUUCACUCGGUGACAGAAAACACCAGUGGGCGUGCAGUGGGCAAGUUCGAUGCCACAGUUACAGUACAUCAUCGUCUACCAACUACCUGAUGCCUUCCAGAAGCAAGUGCUUGCUCCAUCGUCAAAAAUGGCAAAAAACCUCACUGCAAUGCUGUCAUUUUUAAUUGACAAACUUUCAAAUGGUUGAGAGGUGUUCUCUGCUAUGUGUAGAUAUCUGAUGAGACUAAACCUCUCAUCAACACUAUUGUUGUAUACUAGGACAAAUAAUGCAGUUACA